rnacentral:rRNA from 1 species
CCUACGGGUGGCUGCAGUGGGGAAUAUUGCACAAUGGGGGAAACCCUGAUGCAGCGACGCCGCGUGAGUGAAGAAGUCUUUCGGUAUGUAAAGCUCUAUCAGCAGGGAAGAAAAUGACGGUACCUGUUUAAUAAGCCCCGGCUAACUACGUGCCAGCAGCCGCGGUAAUACGUAGGGGGCAAGCGUUAGCCGGUUUUACUGGGUGUAAAGGGAGCGUAGACGGCAGCACAAGUCUGGAGUGAAAUGCCGGGGCUUAACCCCGGAACUGCGUUUGAUACUGUGCAGCGAGAGUGCAGUAGAGGUGAGUAGAAUUCCUAGUGUAGCGGUGAAAUGCGUAGAGAUGAGGAGGAACACCGAAGGCGAAGGCAGCCUACUGGAAUGUAACUGACGUUGAGGCGCGAAAGCGUGGGGAGCAAACAGGAUUAGAUACCCUAGUAGUC